GGUCCCACUGCAACACACAUGGAGAGCGUCAGCGGGGUAGGUUGACACAGCGACCCUGACUGAUCCAAAGGACAGAGCUGCUGAGGAGGAGGAGGAGAUCUGCAGCCCAUGUGAAAUUAGAGGAAAUGAACACAGCGCCAGAAAAGCUCACCUCCCUUGGCCGAGUGUCUGCCAGAAGCCCCAGGUUUCUUGGGCUCAGCAGCAGCUGCAGUGGAACCGGCACCUGAAAGUCAUCCUUCCACAGGGAAAGCAGCAUGUGCAGGAGCCUGCGAGCCUGUCCUCUCUCCAGCCGGUGCUGCACCGGGGGCCCGAGGACAGGGAUCUGGUCUGCCACUUUGGGCAAAGAAAAAAGUCAAGCUUUGAGAAAUGGAGGUAGGGUCACCUAGCUGGCCCCUGGGAGGUAGAAGAGAACAAAGCUCCAUGUUUCUAAUCUAGCUUGUACCAAAACCUGAGAUCUGGGGGAUGUGACAGAAGGGUGAUGUAAUGACAGAGAGCCAUACCAAGGAGGGAUGCUAACUCCACCGAGCACUUUGCCAGAUGCUGCUCUGCAGGCGGGCACAGGAACUGUGGAGAAGAGGCUGGACGUUAGCACUAUCCUUACAGCAGCAGACUUGAGCUGAUGCAGCUCUGGUGACUAGCACUGGACAAGGACACAAGUACAAAGUCGUGUUAGGUCUCACCUGGCGGCACCGCAGUGUCUGGCCCAGCUGGCCCAGGAGCUGCUCCAGAUGCUCCGGAGAGACUCCCUCCUCAGGGUCCCGGGGCCCCACAGCCAGAGCGAGCACAUCCUGGAGAGAGCAGGGGUGGAAGCAGAGCGAGACUUCAUACCUGGCUGGGACCGAGGAGGCCACCGAGAAGCCAGUGGAAAGAGGCAGAAGGAAAAGGAAGACAGGGUCCCCGGAUGAAGCGGCCGGGCCAAGGUGCCUUAGACCUGGGACUCGGGCAGGACCGCACAGCUGGGAGAAGAAGCCAACCAAGUGGACAGCAACAGAGGGAACAGAUGGAGCAGGUCAGCUGAGGGACAACAUGCUGCCUUGAGAGCUCAAGAGAUGUCACUCGUCUUGGGACAAAGCCACACCCAUCCACUUCCCAGAGAGCCUUAUCCUGAAAGCAUUUAGGAGAACCGUCUGGCUACGUGUUAUAUUUUCUAUCCCCUAUGCUUCUCUGUUCAUCUUCUUGGGAGAGUCCGGCUUCAGUACAGAAAACCACUUAGCCUUUUCUUCUCCCCACUAUAUACUCUCCAUUUUUGUCAUUCCUUCUUAGUCCCUAGUCCUUAUCUUUGGCUCCACCAAACAGUAAAUAGUUGAGGGUUUGCAGGCCUUAACAUCUCUGCUGCUGUAGCACAAAAACAGCCCUGGACAAUUCAUCAGUGAACAAGUGUGGCUGUGUUCCAAUAAAACUUGAUUUAUAGAAAUCA